rnacentral:tRNA from 2 species
GCCCCAGUAGCUCAAUGGACAGAGCAGGGGACUCCUAAGCCUCUGGUUGGGGGUUCGAUUCCCUCCUGGGGCGCCA